GGGGAAUAUUGCACAAUGGGCGGAAGCCUGAUGCAGCGACGCCGCGUGAGGGAUGAAGGCCUUCGGGUUGUAAACCUCUUUCGACAGGGACGAAGCGCAAGUGACGGUACCUGUAGAAGAAGCACCGGCCAACUACGUGCCAGCAGCCGCGGUAAGACGUAGGGUGCAAGCGUUGUCCGGAUUUAUUGGGCGUAAAGAGCUCGUAGGCGGCUUGUUGCGUCGACUGUGAAAACCCGCGGCUUAACCGCGGGCUUGCAGUUGAUACGGGCAGGCUAGAGUUCGGUAGGGGAGACUGGAAUUCCUGGUGUAGCGGUGAAAUGCGCAGAUAUCAGGAGGAACACCGGUGGCGAAGGCGGGUCUCUGGACCGAUACUGACGCUGAGGAGCGAAAGCGUGGGGAGCGAAC
rnacentral:rRNA from 1 species